rnacentral:lncRNA from 1 species
CCUGAUUGUGUGUGUCAGGGACUUAAUGAAAGCCAUGUCGUUACACUUAUGCAUUGAUCUUCUCAUCUACAGCAGCUCUUUAGUAACAAGGACAUCUUGUGCAUAAAGGAAAUGAUAGAUUAAACAUAAACAUGUGCAUGAAGCAAGCAACAGGGAUCUCCAAAAUAAUAUGUAAUAAGGAUGUUACUUGCGGAGCAAUAUUACAAAUUAGAUAGAUGCAUAAAUAACAAGAUCCAGCAAACGCCUAGACUAGGACUGCCACUAAUACUAUUUAUCAUGAUGAGAACAUUAUUUGCAAGUAG